GGGGGUUUUGAGAUUGAUUUAAUUGAUCUAAUUCUGAAAGCAGUAAAAGUAAAGCGAAUAAUAAAAAUAAAGGGAAUUCAAUAAUGAAAAAGCUCUAGUUGAAGAGUUGGAUCCACUUCAGUUGUUGGGAUUGAUCAUUGAAACUUAUGUUCUUUUGAUUGAUUCAAUAGAUUAGUUAUGGAGAUGGAAAACGCUUCUCACCACCAUGUCUCUCCUUAAUCAUAAAC
rnacentral:lncRNA from 1 species